rnacentral:rRNA from 1 species
UACAUGUGGGGCAAGCGUUGUUCGGAAUUACUGGGCAUAAAGCGUGCGCAGGCGGUGAUGUAAGACAGGUGUGAAAUCCCCGGGCUUAACCUGGGAACUGCAUUUGUGACUGCAUCGCUGGAGUGCGGCAGAGGGGGAUGGAAUUCCGCGUGUAGCAGUGAAAUGCGUAGAUAUGCGGAGGAACACCGAUGGCGAAGGCAAUCCCCUGGGCCUGCACUGACGCUCAUGCACGAAAGCGUGGGGAGCAAACAGG